AAAAAAAGGAAAUACCCAUCUCUCAGAUGCGUUCCUUGAAACAACAGGGAAGGCAUAGAUUGCAGACAUUCAACAUGGCAUCAGUUUCUGACCGCCCGUCUGCUUCGAUUCUCGUCAUCGAGAGGUCAAAAGAUUAGAAGAAGAAGAUGAUGAUGAAGAAGAAGUAGAAGAAAUAGAUAAAAGAAAGAAGAAUACCGAUCUCUGAUGGAGAAAAAGAGCCACAGGAAGAACGAGGGGGCGAGCAAUGGGAGGCUGCGGCGUCCGGCAGGGGUUUAAAUAGGGUUUCUCCCAUUGAGCCCUAAAACACGGGCUAGGGUUUUUUCAUGUAAGGCUAACCAGCCGCAUGCCGAAGACCAGAAAGUAAUGGGCUGUGAUGA
rnacentral:lncRNA from 1 species